GCCGUGUCUCCGAUGCUCUAGAUUAUGAGUUGAUCCUGGCUCAGAGUGAACGCUGGCGGUAGGCCUAACACAUGCAAGUCGAACGGCAGCACAAAGGAGCUUGCUCCUUGGGUGGCGAGUGGCGGACGGGUGAGGAAUACAUCGGAAUCUACUCUGUCGUGGGGGAUAACGUAGGGAAACUUACGCUAAUACCGCAUACGACCUACGGGUGAAAGCAGGGGAUCUUCGGACCUUGCGCGAUUGAAUGAGCCGAUGUCGGAUUAGCUAGUUGGCGGGGUAAAGGCCCACCAAGGCGACGAUCCGUAGCUGGUCUGAGAGGAUGAUCAGCCACACUGGAACUGAGACACGGUCCAGACUCCUACGGGAGGCAGCAGU
rnacentral:rRNA from 1 species